UACGUAGGGCGCAAGCGUUGUCCGGAAUUAUUGGGCGUAAAGAGCUCGUAGGCGGCCUGUUGCGUCCGCUGUGAAAGUCGGGGGGCUCAACCCUCGGAUGCCGGUGGAUACUGUCGGGGCUUGAGUACGGAAGAGGCGAGUGGAAUUCCUGGUGUAGCGGUGAAAUGCGCAGAUAUCAGGAGGAACACCAAUUGCGAAGGCAGCUCGCUGGGACGUUACUGACGCUGAGACGCGAAAGCGUGGGGAGCAAACAGG
rnacentral:rRNA from 1 species